GGUAUUGCAUGCAAUAUUGCAUUGUUCUAUCUCCUUAAUGAGCAAACUUGAAAAUAUUAUCUUGUUCUAUCUCCAAUCAACCAAUCAUAUUACAAUUACAAAGUUGUUCGGAAUAAUUUUAUCAGUUUUGUUGUUUUCAAAAUGGCAACUGCAAAUAUUGACCAAGAAAUGGAACCUGCCCUAAAUCAAAACGAAGAGCUGCUUGGCAUUACACCUUCUCGUCGGUCGCCCCAUGGUGGGGUUUCUAGGAAACGUAAAGCUGAUAGGAGUAGUUGGAAACAAAGUG